UUUUUAUUUUAUUUUAUUUCAAACAUAAAAUGGCGCCCUCUGCCAUGGCCCUCAUGAUACUUACUCUAGAUACGCCCUACUCUAGAUACGCCACUGCUCUUAGGUUUUGAAAUUAAUAUUUUAAUGCAGUUAUAAGGUAUUUUCUCUCUCCUUUCUGAAUUUCUUUGUGAUGUAAUUGGAAACAUACUCAAAGCGUGUUCGAGAGGCCCAGGGUUCGAGUAACAUCUCCUGCUUCAAAAAAACCUAAUGACUCUUAAAUGUUUGACAAAAAAUAUCGAAGUUCAAAUAUUUUACAUUUUCAGAAUCUUAUAAAAUCGAAGCAAAUGUAGAAGUGGAAGAUUUAUUUCAAGAAUUAGCAUAUAUAAAUAUUUGUACUACAUAUCUGUUAGAAUCAAUUAGUUCUAACUAAUUAAUUCUAAUUAUGAAUUUGUUUUUGAUGCAAUUGUGUUGUUCUAAAGAUGUAGUUCAACUUUAGUUUUAGUUACUCACGCUCUGACUGUUUUUUUUUUAAACCCCGAUUAUUUCCGUUCGUCCCUGUCGUGUUUCGCACGCACCAUGGCAAGGAGGUCAACACUUUUUCCUAUAAGUGUGCCUUAUUCUUAUUUUAAGUACUAGUUCAUUCUUAGCAUGAACUAAUUGUCGACUGUUGUUCGACAAUUAGUUGAAUUAGUAGACAUCUUUUCGAAAGAUUGAAUAACAUGGCUGGACUACAACGUAAAGUUGAAUCUGGUCACCCGGCUUGAUAUUCGCCUCCACCUCGUGAAGAAGAAAAUUUUAUUGACUAUUUAAAAAUCUUGGCAAUUGACAUCAGUCCUUUCAGAGAUCCUGAGAGACUGGUUCAUACUGUAUCGUCAUCUGAUGGAGCCUGUUUCUCCAAGCUUUGGAAAAAUAGGAAAUCUACGCUAGUAAAUUACACUAGCUACUCGCGGUAUAAUAAAGUCAUGCUAUGUCAUGAAUAAAUUAGUGUCAUUUUUGAAUAAUGGAACUCGGCAACGUCAAAAGCAAACGAGCGCCAAACGAUAAAUUGGCGAGAGAGGAUUCUACUUACCUUCAGAUGCAGAAGUCUUAAAGAUAUUAUACUUGCAGUGUAUUUGUGCUUCAUUCCUUUUAGCCUGUUGCCUUCUUUUAUGGGAUAUACGCUUGAUAAUAUUGCCUAAUAGCUGAUGACAAAAACCUUUCUUGUAACAGUGUCUCUAGUUCCAUAUAAAACUACAUUGACAGAGGCUGAGGAAAUACUCUUUAAACCACUGAAGAUGGCAGAUAAAGGAAAAGUACCAAUUUUACUAUAGUGUCUAUAGAAGAGCUACGAAACAAACUUCUAGAAUGUCACUGAUGAUUUUUCUAACAGAAAAAAAAAAAGAGAGAGAGAGAGAGAGAACACUUUAGAAUCUUUGAAUCAAAAUUUUAUUUAAAAAAUAAACACAGAAAUCUGAUUUAUUUCUCUAUGUAUCAUUUUCACAUUUUACUGAUUUGACGUUUUGGUGGACAUUGAGAAGGGUGGCGCAAAAGAUCCAGUUUCGCCAUUGCUGUCAAAUUUCUUUUGUUAAAAUCGUAUAUCUUCCAUUGUAUAUGGUUUUGUAUUUGUAUAUCUCCCAUUGUAUAUGGUUUCAGAGUGUAAAACCUGCAUGAUUUUUUUGGUAAAAUAUCAUAUACCUGUAAAUGCUGAAUUGCUUGCUCCUGCUUUAUUUUUUAGCCAAUCUAGUCUGAUAAAAUUCACUUACAUGGAACAACUAGAUAAAAACUGUUAAUAAAUAAAACUGCUUUCAAUCACAAUGUUUAAGUUCUAAAUUACAACAGACAGUAAAACAUAUCAUACCUCUGCCUGCAGAAGUCAUUUCAUUCAUAAGUUCCUCAUAUUUAAGUUUCUCAAUACCUCUUUUUAUUAUGGAACAUUCUGGCAAG